UAGUACGGCGAGUGAGCGGCAACAGCUCAAAUUUGAAAUCUGGCUCUUUCAGAGUCCGAGUUGUAAUUUGCAGAGGGCGCUUUGGCUUUGGCAGCGGUCCAAGUUCCUUGGAACAGGACGUCACAGAGGGUGAGAAUCCCGUACGUGGUCGCUAGCUAUUGCCGUGUAAAGCCCCUUCGACGAGUCGAGUUGUUUGGGAAUGCAGCUCUAAAUGGGAGGUAAAUUUCUUCUAAAGCUAAAUAUUGGCCAGAGACCGAUAGCGCACAAGUAGAGUGAUCGAAAGAUGAAAAGCACUUUGGAAAGAGAGUCAAACAGCACGUGAAAUUGUUGAAAGGGAAGCGCUUGCAGCCAGACUUGCUUGCAGUUGCUCAUCCGGGCUUUUGCCCGGUGCACUCUUCUGUAGGCAGGCCAGCAUCAGUUUGGGCGGUGGGAUAAAGGUCUCUGUCACGUACCUCUCUUCGGGGAGGCCUUAUAGGGGAGACGACAUACCACCAGCCUAGACUGAGGUCCGCGCAUCUGCUAGGAUGCUGGCGUAAUGGCUGUAAGCGGCCCGUCUUGA
rnacentral:rRNA from 1 species